UCCGCAGACUUAACAGAUGCAAGGACGUGA
rnacentral:piRNA from 1 species